rnacentral:ncRNA from 2 species
AACGUUCAUCCUUUCCUAGCGCUAAUCGCUAGUUAUACAAGGACGGAAGUAGGGUUAAAGUCCCGAAGGAACGCGCC